rnacentral:piRNA from 1 species
UAGGUAGAUAGAAAAACUAGACCAAAGGAA